GGUGUGGCUCAAUGGUAGGGUGCUUGCCUGGCAUGCAUAAGGUCUGGGGUUCAAUCCCCAGCACC
rnacentral:tRNA from 1 species